UACGUAGGCAGCAAGCGUUGUUCGGAGUUACUGGGCGUAAAGAGCUCGUAGGCGGUUUGUCGCGUCUGCCGUGAAAGUCCGGGGCUCAACUCCGGAUCUGCGGUGGGUACGGGCAGACUAGAGUGAUGUAGGGGAGACUGGAAUUCCUGGUGUAGCGGUGAAAUGCGCAGAUAUCAGGAGGAACACCGAUGGCGAAGGCAGGUCUCUGGGCAUUAACUGACGCUGAGGAGCGAAAGCAUGGGGAGCGAACAGG
rnacentral:rRNA from 1 species